GGGAGGAAAAGAAACUAACAAGGAUUUUCUUAGUAGCGGCGAGCGAAAAGAAAAUAGUUCAGCACUAAGUCACUUUGUCUUUAUGGCAAAUGUGAGAUGCAGUGUAUGGAAUGUCAAAUUUCUAGUAUGAGAAAUUAACGAUUUAAGUCCUUCUUAAAUGAGGCCAUUUACCCAAAGAGGGUGCCAGGCCCGUAUAACGUUAAUGAUUACUAGAUGGCAUUUCCAAAGAGUCGUGUUGCUUGAUAGUGCAGCACUAAGUGGGUGGUAAACUCCAUCUAAAACUAAAUAUAACCAUGAGACCGAUAGUAAACAAGUACCGUGAGGGAAAGUUGAAAAGAACUCUGAAUAGAGAGUUAAAUAGUACGUGAAACUGCUUAGAGGUUAAGCCCGAUGAACCUGAAUAUCCGUUAUGGAAAAUUCAUCAUUAUGAUUUUAAUAUUAAUAAUAUUAUAAUAAUGGUGUGCAUUUUUUCUAUAAAGGACAUUGUAAUCUAUUAACAUAAAAUAUAUUUAUCAUAAGAUCGUUGGCUUAAGUUUAUUCGAAUUAUUUUGCUUGCAAUUUAAUACAGAAUAAAUGCUUUCGAUUUGAUAAAGUGUUGAUAGAUUUAUUAUAAUAUAGUGCUUAAAUAUUUAUAUUUUAUAAUAGCAUAUUAAUCAUUGAUUUUUAUGUUUAUUAUAUGCACUUAUAUGAUUAACAAUGCGAAAGAUUCAGGAUACCUUCGGGACCCGUCUUGAAACACGGACCAAGGAGUCUAACAUAUUUGCAAGUUAUUGGGAAUUAAAACCUAAUAGCGAAAUUAACAUAACUUAAUUAUGGGAUUAGUUUUUAGCCUAUUUAUAGUCUAUUAAUUCAAUCCCGGGGCGUUCUAUACAGUUAUGUAUAAUAAUAUUUAUAUUAUUUAUACCUCUAACUAGAGCGUACCUUGAGCAUAUAUGCUGUGACCCGAAAGAUGGUGAACUAUACUUGAUCAGGUUGAAGUCAGGGGAAACCCUGAUGGAAGACCGAAACAG
rnacentral:rRNA from 1 species